rnacentral:rRNA from 1 species
GAUGAACGCUGGCGGCGUGCCUAAUACAUGCAAGUCGAGCGAACGGACGAGAAGCUUGCUUCUCUGAUGUUAGCGGCGGACGGGUGAGUAACACGUGGAUAACCUACCUAUAAGACUGGGAUAACUUCGGGAAACCGUAGCUAAUACCGGAUAAUAUUUUGAACCGCAUGGUUCAAAAGUGAAAGACGGUCUUGCUGUCACUUAUAGAUGGAUCCGCGCUGCAUUAGCUAGUUGGUAAGGUAACGGCUUACCAAGGCAACGAUGCAUAGCCGACCUGAGAGGGUGAUCGGCCACACUGGAACUGAGACACGGUCCAGACUCCUACGGGAGGCAGCAGUAGGGAAUCUUCCGCAAUGGGCGAAAGCCUGACGGAGCAACGCCGCGUGAGUGAUGAAGGUCUUCGGAUCGUAAAACUCUGUUAUUAGGGAAGAACAUAUGUGUAAGUAACUGUGCACAUCUUGACGGUACCUAAACAGAAAGCCACGGCUAACUACGUG